rnacentral:rRNA from 1 species
AUUGAACGCUGGCGGCAGGCCUAACACAUGCAAGUCGAGCGGAUGAAGGGAGCUUGCUCCUGGAUUCAGCGGCGGACGGGUGAGUAAUGCCUAGGAAUCUGCCUGGUAGUGGGGGAUAACGUCCGGAAACGGGCGCUAAUACCGCAUACGUCCUGAGGGAGAAAGUGGGGGAUCUUCGGACCUCACGCUAUCAGAUGAGCCUAGGUCGGAUUAGCUAGUUGGUGGGGUAAAGGCCUACCAAGGCGACGAUCCGUAACUGGUCUGAGAGGAUGAUCAGUCACACUGGAACUGAGACACGGUCCAGACUCCUACGGGAGGCAGCAGUGGGGAAUAUUGGACAAUGGGCGAAAGCCUGAUCCAGCCAUGCCGCGUGUGUGAAGAAGGUCUUCGGAUUGUAAAGCACUUUAAGUUGGGAGGAAGGGCAGUAAGUUAAUACCUUGCUGUUUUGAUGUUACCAACAGAAUAAGCACCGGCUAACUUCGU